UAGAAAGAGGGCAUGAUCUACUUGGGGUCCAGAGUUAGUCGUUGAUGGAGUUAGGUUCACAUGCAUACAGGGCAGGAGGGAAGAAGUGCCUGAAGAACACGCAAGCUCUCAGCCAGACCCCAACUGCCUCAAACCACAGGUGCAAACUGUGCCCCAGGGGACAGCCCAGUCACCGGAAGACUGUUCAGUGGGAGGCUUGCAAAUCUUAUCCUUUCUCUGUGUGAGGAGCCAGCCCCGGGCAAGUCUGAAAGCCGAUAAAGAACAACAGAAGCUGUGCCUCCUCCCCUAGGAGCUCAGGGCUCAUCUUUGCACAACGCUGGAAGACAAGAAAAGGAACAGGGCCUGAAGAUAUGCACCCAUCUUCAAGAUCCUGGGAGGGCAUCAGGGCCCCAACACCCGGCGGCAUCUCACACUUGUGAGAAGACUCAGACUGCUCUGUGCUGCUGUCAAGGAGGCCCACAAAGCAGCCACGAGACACAGAGGGGAC